rnacentral:misc_RNA from 1 species
AAGUCGUAACAAGGUUUCCGUAGGUGAACCUGCGGAAGGAUCAUUACCGAGUGCGGGCCCGCUCCGGGCCCAACCUCCCACCCGUGUCUCUUGCGUACUUUGUUGCUUUGGCGGGCCCACCGGGUCACUCCGGUCGCCGGGGGGCGCUAUGCUCCCGGGCCCGUGCCCGCCAGAGCACCCCUGUGAACCCUGAUGAAGAGAGGCUGUCUGAGUCCCACGAUAAUCGUUAAAACUUUCAACAAUGGAUCUCUUGGUUCUG